rnacentral:rRNA from 1 species
UGGGGAAUUUUGGACAAUGGGCGAAAGCCUGAUCCAGCCAUGCCUCGUGAGUGAAGAAGGCCUUCGGGUUGUAAAGCUCUUUUAGUCGGAAAGAAAGAGUUGCAAUGAAUAAUUGUGAUUUAUGACGGUACCGACAGAAAAAGCACCGGCUAACUACGUGCCAGCAGCCGCGGUAAUACGUAGGGUGCGAGCGUUAAUCGGAAUUACUGGGCGUAAAGGGUGCGCAGGCGGUCUUGCAAGUCAGAUGUGAAAGCCCCGGGCUUAACCUGGGAAUUGCGUUUGAAACUACAAGACUAGAGUGCAGCAGAGGGGAGUGGAAUUCCAUGUGUAGCAGUGAAAUGCGUAGAGAUGCGGAAGAACACCGAUGGCGAAGGCAGCUCCCUGGGUUGACACUGACGCUCAUGCACGAAAGCGUGGGGAGCAAACA